AUUCAGAUCCGCUUUUUUGGUUCUUUUGUAUUGCAUGGGAGCAAUGGACAAGCCACAAGCAAACAUCAAGGUAUGUGACACAGCUGUCUUCUCCCAGCAGUGAGAGGCAAUGUUGUGAUCAUUCCUCUGAACCUCCUUCUCUCGUGGAAAGUGUAAUUGACACACAAUGCAUACCCAGGUGCGGUAGUCCCUACCGUUACAAAUAAGGUUGCUGUGGCACAUUACCUGGUUGUGUAUCAUCAAGUCAAGACCGUAUCAGUCCAAGGGAAAAUAUAAUGAACACAAAUGAGUGAGUGCUCAGCUACAGUUUCAGACAAAUGGCUGAAUUUUCCAGGUUUUCUGUACAGUGAACAAAUUACCACAUGGAGACAAAAGUUGCUGCAGAAGUGGCCUUGGUGUUCAAGUAAGACAGAAAGGCAAAUUUCUGAUUUUUUUUUUUUAAUCAUGAUGCUAUUACAUCAUCCUCAGGAUAAGAUGUAGCUAGUGCACACAUUCUCAAAGUCUGUUAAUGUUUAUA